rnacentral:rRNA from 1 species
UACGAAGGGGGCUAGCGUUGCUCGGAAUCACUGGGCGUAAAGCGCACGUAGGCGGAUCUUUAAGUCAGGGGUGAAAUCCUGGAGCUCAACUCCAGAACUGCCUUUGAUACUGGGGAUCUCGAGUCCGGGAGAGGUGAGUGGAACUCCGAGUGUAGAGGUGAAAUUCGUAGAUAUUCGGCGGAACACCAGUGGCGAAGGCGACUCACUGGCCCGAUACUGACGCUGAUGCGCGAAAGCGUGGGUAGCAAACAGG